AACGAACGCUGGCGGCAUGCCUAACACAUGCAAGUCGAACGAGACCUUCGGGUCUAGUGGCGCACGGGUGCGUCACGCGUGGGAACCUGCCCUUAGGUUCGGAAUAACUCCCCGAAAGGGGUGCUAAUACCGGAUAAUGUCUUCGGACCAAAGAUUUAUCGCCUUUGGAUGGGCCCGCGUUGGAUUCGCUAGUUGGUAGGGUAAAAGCCUACCAAGGCGACGAUCCGUAGCUGGUCUGAGAGGAUGAUUAGCCACACUGGAACUGAGACACGGCCCAGAAUCCUACGGGAGGCAGCAGUGGGGAAUAUAGGACAAGGGGCGAAGGCAUGAUCAAGCAAUGCCGGGUGAGUUAUGAAGGCCUUAGGGUUGUAAAGCUCUUUUACCCGGGAUGAUAAUGACAGUACCGGGAGAAUAAGCCCCGGCUAACUCCGUG
rnacentral:rRNA from 1 species